rnacentral:rRNA from 1 species
AUUGAACGCUGGCGGCGUGCUUAACACAUGCAAGUCGAUCGGUAACGCGGGGGCAACCCUGGCGACGAGAGGCGGACGGGUGAGGAACGCUUGGGAAUCUGCCUAUCAGCGGGGGACAACCCGGGGAAACUCGGGCUAAUACCGUAUACGCUCUACGGAGGAAAGCCGGGGACCGCAAGGCCUGGCACUGAUAGAUGAGCCCAAGUCGGAUUAGCUAGUUGGCGGGGUAACGGUCCACCAAGGCGACGAUCCGUAGCUGGUCUGAGAGGACGAUCAGCCACACUGGGACUGAGACACGGCCCAGACUCCUACGGGAGGCAGCAGUGGGGAAUAUUGGACAAUGGGGGAAACCCUGAUCCAGCGACGCCGCGUGGGUGAAGAAGGCCUGCGGGUUGUAAAGCCCUUUCGGUAGGGACGAAAGCUCUCGACCUAACACGUCGGGAGGUUGACUUAACCUACGAAAGAAGCACCGGCUAACUCUGUGCCAGCCGCCGCCGUAAAAC